rnacentral:rRNA from 1 species
GACGAACGCUGGCGGCGUGCCUAAUACAUGCAAGUAGAACGCUGAAGGAGGAGCUUGCUUCUCUGGAUGAGUUGCGAACGGGUGAGUAACGCGUAGGUAACCUGCCUGGUAGCGGGGGAUAACUAUUGGAAACGAUAGCUAAUACCGCAUAAGAGUAGAUGCCGCAUGACAUUUGCUUAAAAGGUGCAAUUGCAUCACUACCAGAUGGACCUGCGUUGUAUUAGCUAGUUGGUGAGGUAACGGCUCACCAAGGCAACGAUACAUAGCCGACCUGGGAGGGGGAUCGGCCCCACUGGGACUGAGACACGGCCCAGACUCCUACGGGAGGCAGCAGUAGGGAAUCUUCGGCAAUGGACGGAAGUCUGACCGAGCAACGCCGCGUGAGUGAAGAAGGUUUUCGGAUCGUAAAGCUCUGUUGUAAGAGAAGAACGAGUGUGAGAGUGGAAAGUUCACACUGUGACGGUAUCUUACCAGAAAGGGACGGCUAACUACGUG